rnacentral:tRNA from 1 species
UCCCUGGUGGUCCAGUGGCUAAGACUCUAAGCUCCCAAUGCAGGGGCCCGGGUUCAAUUCCUGGUCAGGGAA